GCGAGCUGAGUCGAGUCGUGUCGAGCUGGUACCAUGCAGUGGAAAAGCGGCAAUAGUUACCAAGCAACCAUCAAUGGACAUAAACCAUAAACCAGAGCUGCCAUAAACCAUUGAUACAAAGUUACGUUGUGCCUACAGUGAAUAGGAGGAAGGCACUUGCCUUACUUGUUAUCCUCCAAAGGAUUAAAAAGAGAAAACGGACCUGGGUGACUGCAAUCAACCAGCGCAGGCGACAGCAAGGGGUAUUUUACAACCUGGCGGAGGAGUUGCGUUUUAACGCUGCAACCCAUCGAUCGUAUUUUCGUAUGACACCAACGCAGAUGGACCACAUCCUGUCAGUGAUUGGUGCAGAUCUCCAGCGACAGGACACCAACAUAUAUAAUGGUUUUCAUUACAUUUCAUUGAUUUAUUACCAUACUCUAUGUUAAAAGGCCCACGCAAACCUCGCGGAAAAUAAUAAAAAUAGAAACCAGUCUAUGUCUUAAUUUUCCGCGCGGAAAUGUCGGCGCAGUACAUUCAGGCUGUUUCUGAAAUGUUAUACUACAUACUACAUACUGCAUACUGACACAGUAUAUACUGUGCACUACAUACUACUCCCCGCCAUAGUAUACAGUAUAGUAUGCAAGUAUGACAAGUAUCAUGCAGUGCACUACACAGUCACAUGACCAAACAAUUGUGACGAAUUUGACGUGUCAGACUGGCGUGGUUUUCGAGCCGGCUCUCCCCUAAAUUUACGCAUAUAUAUUUUUUUUUUUUCAUAGGCCGAUAUAUUUUUUUACCAUUUUGAACAUUUUCAUUUUUUACCAUUUAACAUGUCGAACUUUUCCAUUGUUAAGUCUAACAAUGAGGCAAGGAGGCGCAGGAGAAGGGCACUGCUGAAUAAAACGGCAGUUGCGGUAAUAUUACAGCAGCAGGAGGCGCGCUAU
ensembl:lncRNA